UUGAACGCUGGCGGCAGGCCUAACACAUGCAAGUCGCACGGUAACAGGAAGAAGCUUGCUUCUUUGCUGACGAGUGGCGGACGGGUGAGUAAUGUCUGGGAAACUGCCUGAUGGAGGGGGAUAACUACUGGAAACGGUAGCUAAUACCGCAUAACGUCGCAAGACCAAAGAGGGGGACCUUCGGGCCUCUUGCCAUCGGAUGUGCCCAGAUGGGAUUAGCUAGUAGGUGGGGUAACGGCUCACCUAGGCGACGAUCCCUAGCUGGUCUGAGAGGAUGACCAGCCACACUGGAACUGAGACACGGUCCAGACUCCUACGGGAGGCAGCAGUGGGGAAUAUUGCACAAUGGGCGCAAGCCUGAUGCAGCCAUGCCGCGUGUAUGAAGAAGGCCUUCGGGUUGUAAAGUACUUUCAGCGGGGAGGAAGGGAGUAAAGUUAAUACCUUUACUCAUUGACGUUACCCGCAGAAGAAGCACCGGCUAACUCCGUG
rnacentral:rRNA from 1 species